AGCGAACGCUGGCGGCAGGCCUAACACAUGCAAGUCGAACGAACCUUUCGGGGUUAGUGGCGGACGGGUGAGUAACACGUGGGAACGUGCCUUUAGGUUCGGAAUAACUCAGGGAAACUUGUGCUAAUACCGAAUGUGCCCUUCGGGGGAAAGAUUAAUCGCCUUUAGAGCGGCCCGCGUCGGCUUAGCUAGUUGGUUGAGGUAAUGGCUCACCAAGGCGACGUUCAGUAGCUGGUCUGAGAGGAUGAUCAGCCACAUUGGGACUGAGACACGGCCCAAACUCCUACGGGAGGGAGCAGUGGGGAAUCUUGCGCAAUGGGCGAAAGCCUGACGCAGCCAUGCCGGGUGAAUGAUGAAGGUCUUAGGAUAGUAAAAUUCUUUCACCGGGGGCGAUAAUGACGGUACCCGGAGAAGAAGCCCCGGCUAACUUCGUG
rnacentral:rRNA from 1 species